UAGAGAUGACGGACAGGUGAAAGGAG
rnacentral:piRNA from 1 species